ACUCAGGUAAUUUAAUUUAAAAUAUUGAUUUGUGGUGUCAAAUUUAUGGAGUACGUUCAUCUUGGGUC
rnacentral:tRNA from 1 species